rnacentral:rRNA from 1 species
UGUAAGCGUAUACCAAAGUUGUUGCAGUUAAAACGCUCGUAGUCGGAAUUUGGCAGUUCCGGAUGUGUGCACGUCGUGUGCGCACUUCGCGGGGAUUGCUUUUGUGGUCUUGCGUAGGAUGAGGCACUUUUAUUAGUGAACGUCCUCACGCAACCACUUUUUACUGUGAGAAAAUCAGAGUGCUCAAAGCAGGCAUUUGCCGUGAAUGUAUUAGCAUGGAAUAAUAGAAUAGGACUCGGUUCUAUUUUGUUGGUUUGUUGGGACUGAGUAAUGAUUAAGAGGGACAGUUGGGGGCAUUUGUAUUCCGGCGCUAGAGGUGAAAUUCCUAGAUUGCCGGAAGACAAACUGCUGCGAAAGCGUCUGCCAAGGAUGUUUUCAUUGA